AUCUUUUCGCCCGACUACACCUCUUAUCCCACCUGUUAUCAAAGUGACAAACCUGGCUGUCAACUUGAGCACUGACAUACACCCACAGUGAGGCGGUGGGUGUGGGGAGAUAAAAUGAUACACGAGGAGAUGACACAGGAUGAUUUGAGAAGAGAACAGGGGGCGGGAAGCUUCCGGUGUGCGCUGCACAGAGGCCGGUGACAGGUGUGGCGUAUUGGCAAUCAGCUGAUUGUGCGCAGGUGGAAGCCAGAGGAUUACCGACUCCAUUCGUCGGUUGAUGCCGGACUGUCCUCGACCUUACAAAGCUGACUUUCACCUGCUUGUGGUCACCUGGCUCUGCUGGUUCCAUCAUCGUCUGCCUGGCCUCCGUUCUCUAGUGGAUUCCAUUCAGCCGUGGAGACUCCCCUGCCACCAGCCUUCCCCUCCUGGAGAACACCUACCGAGCCCUGGAACACUCCGUGCCUCCCUAAGACGUAUAACCACCUGCCCAAGCCUCCGGACGCCAUUCUCCAUCCUGGCCGUUCGAACCGGGGACUUCGUCUAAGGAUUGGAUGGAGUCUGCACCCCUCCCUAGUAGAACUACUUCCUGUUUAGUCAGCUAAGUUCUUAGCCCUAACGACACCAGACUGUUUUGUCUUGCUAUGUAUUUCGUAUUAGUGGGUUUUCAUAGUUACUCGUAGUUGUAGUCUGGGCUUUUAGUGGAGGUUAUUGCAGACUAGGUUCUUGGUUUUUUUUGGAUAGUUUAUUUCAGUUGUAUUCCUGCCCUGGUGUUACCAGUAUUGGGUUUACUUAGUUUCUGUUUUUUAGGAUUUGUAAUUGCCCUCCGAGCCACUAGAGGCUGUCUUGAUCUGUUUGUUCCCAUAGAGUAGGUUACACUUCUGGUUCCGGAAUUCAGUUCCUAGUUGGGAUUUGUAGUCCUUGAGUUUUUUGUGUGUAAAAGCUUUUUGUAAAUCGUGCAACUGCUUUCAUUGUUACUUUCAUUUCCUGCAUCUGAGCCUCUACACCUGCCGUAACAUUUUAUUCUUUUGUAUUAUUUUCGACAUUGUAGAUUCAUACUGAAGAUUAACAUUUUUUGUUUACAACAUAAUUCCAUAUAUAUUUGUAUGUGUACUUUUAUAGUUUUGAUGUAUUCAGUAUUAAUUUACAAUGUAUAAAAUAAUUAAAGAAAAACCAUUGAAUGAGAAGGUGUGUCCAAACUUUAUUCAAUCAACUCCUAACAUUAUCAUUGCUUUAAAGUCCCAUUUUUAGUUAAUCCAUGAUUUUAGUUCAAUAUUUGGUCUUUUUUUUUUUUUUUUUUAAUCUCUGCUUUGGUCUCCACCAACAUUCAAGAGAAAUAACUAAAUUUAGCUGCUAAAUGCAAUGUUAGCAAACCUGUUCCCCAAGUUUUAACUGUGAACCCAAACAAUAGUGAGCUAAAAAUCAAAACAAAGGGCUCAAAGAUGCUAAAAUACCCUGUAAAACUGAACGCAGCAAAGUCAGGGAAUGAUUGUGUAGAGACAUUACUACCAGCUAAGGUAUUCAUACUAUAUAAUGUAUUGUUAUGAAAUCAUAUUAAAACAAUGAUUAGAGCAGCUGUAACGAC
ensembl:lncRNA